rnacentral:lncRNA from 13 species
GAAAUAAUUGUUGGCAAGAUGAUUCUCUCUCAGUGUGCUUGAAACAUACGAUAUUUAAACAUCAGUUAAAAUUUAAAAUUUGAAUUGAGUCAUUUUCAUUAAAACCAGGUUAAAAUCACAAUGAUCUUUUCCUCUUAUAUAGGAAUGAAUCCUCUUGCUCCAGAUGGAACAUAAAGCUCCUUAAAUUGAAAUUCAUUGCAUGGGGGCUCUGAUGGCCCUUAACAGAUGGAAGAACAAUCUCAUUUGGGUGGUUAUGUAAUUCAGUGAUUAUCAUGGAACCCUUCAGAUACCAUCAGACAGAAGGUGGACGGAGUUAGGCUCUGCAGCAAAGAUGACAUUGUUACCUGCCUUACUUAGCUGAAAGUAAUCAACUGAUCUACUUGGAUUUAGUCAACUAAGGUGGCAGCAAGUGACCAGGCAGUAAACCACUGGGCCUUCUAGCCUGUCUCUAUCAGGUGGACCCUGUUGUAAAGCCACAGGAAAGAGAAAGCCACGGGGAAAGCCCCUGCCAACCAACUGGGAAAACAGAGCAGAGAUCACAGGGGCCCAGCCUUUGCUGACACCAUGAGCUGCUGGAAUUGCCUCCCUUUGGGUGUCUUGUUUUGUGAAAUAAACACCUAUCAUUAGGACUGCUUUUAUUCGGUUAUUUUCCUCCUCAUAGUUAAAAGCAUCCUACCUGACAGGAGAACUUUAAUAAUUUAACAUUUGCUGCCACAAGCG